rnacentral:rRNA from 1 species
CUGCAACCCGCCCUGCAUGAAGUUGGAAUUGCUAGUAAUCGCGGAUCAGCAUGCCGCGGUGAAUACGUUCCCUGGCCUUGUACACACCGCCCGUCACACCAUGGGAGCCGGUAAUACCCGAAGUCAGUAGCCUAACCGCAAGGGGGGCGCUGCCGAAGGUAGGAUUGGCGACUGGGGUGAAGUCGUAACAAGGUAGC